UAAAAGCCGGAAACCCUGCUGGAGAGGGCUCUGGCUCUCUGGGAGAGAUCCCCGUCAGAAGCCCACUGGUGUGAUAAACUGCUAACCUCCUCAGGACUGUUUUCUCCUUGUUUGGUCUGUUUUCUGCAACACUCGGCAGCCUGUGGUCACUGGUUUCCAAGCCAUGGAGUCCGUGCAUCCAACAAGACGCCACAGGAGGCACCACAAAUAAAGAGAGCCUAAACAAUCCAGCAGACGAAGAGGAGGCCUGCCCUCUCACAGCCACUGUGCACUGUGUGUGGAGGGCUUUGCCAAGCAGCUGCUCCUCCCUGCGCCGGCCGCACCCAUUCUGGUCCUUGCCUGUCAGAGACGGAGCGUGGAGAGGCGCAGGACCACAGCCAGACCAGCGAGGCACAGCGUCCCCACUAGCCACGUGUAGGCCGGGUGGCCACACGAUCCGCGUUAUUCUACUAAGAACCGGCCAAGGGCUCCUGCUGGUCUCUGGUGAAAGUGGAGGUGCUUUUCCUACCCGCUUAGCAGAUGGCAUAUAAGCUCUGGCCACGGACGCCCAUCUCCCUGACCCUUGCUCCUGCCCCCCUGACCCGGGAGCCCCGGGCUCCACUCUGGUUACCUGGCUGCUCCGGGAGAUGCAGCGGCGGACGAGGUCCCUGAUGUUGUUGUGCUUGUCUGUCUGGAAGUACACAGUGGCGCUGGACUUCUCUUUGAGGGCUUCUCAGGAUCCUCACAGGCAGCGGAGAGACUGGCUUCUCUGAGAGACACCGCCCUGCCCGCCAGCCAAGGGCUGGCUCACUCCG